rnacentral:rRNA from 1 species
AUGCGACAGAAUAGAAUUAGAGGUCAUUUGCCAUCUACAAUGGAAUUUCUGAGAGCAAUUACAAUUGAUCUCAGUUCUAACCAGUUCAAUGGCCCAAUACCUAAGCUUCCCAAUAAUUUGACUAACUUGGAUCUUAGUAGAAAUAAUUUCGUCGGGCCACUACCAUUAGACUUUGGAGCACCAAAUCUAGAAGCACUUAUUCUAUUUGACAACUCCAUCUCUGGCACCAUUCCGUCUUCUUUGUGCAAAAUUCGAUCAUUGUGUCUAUUGGAUAUCUCCAAUAAUAUGCUAACUGGACCAUUUCCUAACUGCUCCUAUGAUACAUCCACACCAAACAACACAAGCAUGAAUAUUCUUAAUCUAAGCUUGAGAAACAACAACCUCUCUGGUGAGUUUCCUUCCUUUCUCCAAUACUGCAAGGAGCUCGUCUUUCUUGAUCUUGGUCAGAACCAUUUCUUUGGGACUUUGCCAACAUGGAUUUGGGAGAAGAUUCCAUAUUUGGCGUUCUUACGGCUGCGUUCAAAUAUGUUUUAUGGUAACAUUCCAGAGGAGCUUACGAAGCUAGUGAAUCUUCAGUAUUUGGACCUUGCCUACAAUAACAUAACAGGAAGCAUACCCAAAUCUAUUGUUAACUGCAAGAGGAUGAUAACAAGAGAUGACGGCGGUGGUGGUGAUUUCGAUGAUGCUUUAAAUUGGCAAUCAACAACUGCUCUUAAUGCCUUGAUCAGCUAUACCGAGAAUUCCACAGUUGUCACAAAGGGUCAAGAGAGAUUAUAUACAGGAGAGAUCAUAUAUAUGGUGAAUCUUGAUUUAUCUUGUAAUAAUCUUAUUGGAGAUAUUCCCGAAGAAAUCAGCACUCUUGUCGGAUUGAAGAAUCUGAAUUUAUCAUGGAACAGCUUUAGUGGAAACAUUCCUGAGAAUAUUGGCGCCCUGGCACAGGUGGAGUCGCUGGACUUGUCACACAAUGAGUUGUCUGGCGAAAUCCCUACAAGCUUAUCGGCUCUGACAUCAUUAAGUCGCUUGAACCUGUCCUAUAACAAUCUGACAGGACAUGUACCAUCAGGAGAUCAACUGCAAACACUUGAGGAUCCAACUAGUAUUUAUAUUGGCAACCCAGGCCUAUGCGGUCCUCCUCUCUUACAGAAAUGCUCAAAAACCGAGCCAAUCCCAGCUACUCGAGAACACCAUGAAGAUUUAAACGAUGAGGUAUCGUUUUUCAUCGCUAUGGGUUCUGGAUAUGUAAUGGGUCUCUGGGUAGUCUUUUGCGCCUUCUUGUUCAAGAGGAAAUGGCGAGUUAAGUGGUACUCCAUCUGGGACAGGUUGUGUGAUUGGGUCUAUGUGCAAGUGGCCGUUACAUGGGCUUCCUGGACUAGAAAAAAAACCACAGAAGCUGAGAACGAUCGCUAG